UACAGAGGGUGCAAGCGUUGUUCGGAAUUAUUGGGCGUAAAGGGCGCGUAGGCGGUCGUGACAAGUCACUUGUGAAAUCUCCGGGCUUAACUCGGAACGGUCAAGUGAUACUGUCGGACUAGAGUACAGAAGGGGCAACUGGAAUUCUCGGUGUAGCGGUGAAAUUCGUAGAUAUUCGCAAGAACACCAGUGGCGAAGGCGGCUCACUGGCCCGGUACUGACGCUGAGGUGCGAAAGCGUGGGGAGCAAACAGG
rnacentral:rRNA from 1 species